rnacentral:rRNA from 1 species
AUUGAACGCUGGCGGCAUGCUUUACACAUGCAAGUCGAACGGCAGCGCGGGCUUCGGCCUGGCGGCGAGUGGCGAACGGGUGAGUAAUACAUCGGAACGUGCCCAGUAGUGGGGGAUAGCUCGGCGAAAGCCGGAUUAAUACCGCAUACGACCUGAGGGUGAAAGCGGGGGAUCUUUGGACCUCGCGCUAUUGGAGCGGCCGAUGGUAGAUUAGCUAGUUGGUGGGGUAAAGGCCUACCAAGGCGACGAUCUGUAGCUGGUCUGAGAGGACGACCAGCCACACUGGGACUGAGACACGGCCCAGACUCCUACGGGAGGCAGCAGUGGGGAAUUUUGGACAAUGGGCGAAAGCCUGAUCCAGCAAUGCCGCGUGUGUGAUGAAGGCCUUCGGGUUGUAAAGCACUUUUGGCGGGAACGAAAAGGACUGUGCCAAUACCACGGUUCGAUGACGGUACCCGCAGAAUAAGCACCGGCUAACUACGUG